rnacentral:rRNA from 1 species
GAUGAACGCUGGCGGCGUGCUUAACACAUGCAAGUCGAACGGUGAAGGCGGAGCUUGCUCUGCUGGAUCAGUGGCGAACGGGUGAGUAACACGUGAGCAAUCUGCCCCUGACUCUGGGAUAAGCGCUGGAAACGGCGUCUAAUACUGGAUACGAGCUGCGAAGGCAUCUUCAGCAGCUGGAAAUAAUUUCGGUCAGGGAUGAGCUCGCGGCCUAUCAGCUUGUUGGUGAGGUAAUGGCUCACCAAGGCGUCGACGGGUAGCCGGCCUGAGAGGGUGACCGGCCACAGUGGGACUGAGAGACGGCACAGACUCCAACGGGAGGCAGCAGUGGGGAAUAGUGCACAAGGGGAGAAAGCCGGAUGCAGCAACGCCGCGUGAGGGACGACGGCCUUCGGGUUGUAAACCUAUUUUAGCAGGGAAGAAGCGAAAGUGACGGUACCUGCAGAAAAAGCGCCGGCUAACUACGUG